GUGGGGGAUAUUGCACAAUGGGGGAAACCCUGAUGCAGCGACGCCGCGUGGAGGAAGAAGGUUUUCGGAUUGUAAACUCCUGUCGUUAGGGACGAUAAUGACGGUACCUAACAAGAAAGCACCGGCUAACUACGUGCCAGCAGCCGCGGUAAAACGUAGGGUGCAAGCGUUGUCCGGAAUUACUGGGUGUAAAGGGAGCGCAGGCGGGAAGACAAGUUGGAAGUGAAAACCAUGGGCUCAACCCAUGAAUUGCUUUCAAAACUGUUUUUCUUGAGUAGUGCAGAGGUAGAUGGAAUUCCCAGUGUAGCGGUGGAAUGCGUAGAUAUCGGGAGGAACACCAGUGGCGAAGGCGGUCUACUGGGCACCAACUGACGCUGAGGCUCGAAAGCAUGGGUAGCAAACAGGAUUAGAUACCCGAGUAGUCC
rnacentral:rRNA from 1 species